UACAGAGGGUGCAAACGUUGUUCGGAAUUACUGGGCAUAAAGCGUACGUAGGCGGCGCGUUUAGUGCAUGGUGAAAGCCCACGGCUCACCCGUGGAAUUGCUGUGCAUACUGGCGUGCUCGAGGACGGUAGGGGAGUGCGGAACUCUUGGUGGAGCGGUGAAAUGCGUAGAUAUCAAGAGGAACACCGAAGGCGAAGGCAGCACUCUGGUCCGUUUCUGACGCUGAGGUACGAAAGCCAGGGUAGCGAACGGG
rnacentral:rRNA from 1 species